GAUGAACGCUGGCGGCGUGCCUAAUACAUGCAAGUCGAGCGAACAGACGAGGAGCUUGCUCCUCUGACGUUAGCGGCGGACGGGUGAGUAACACGUGGAUAACCUACCUAUAAGACUGGGAUAACUUCGGGAAACCGGAGCUAAUACCGGAUAAUAUAUUGAACCGCAUGGUUCAAUAGUGAAAGACGGUUUUGCUGUCACUUAUAGAUGGAUCCGCGCCGCAUUAGCUAGUUGGUAAGGUAACGGCUUACCAAGGCGACGAUGCGUAUCCGACCUGAGAGGGUGAUCGGCCACACUAGAACUGAGACGCGGUCCAGACGCCUACGGGAGGCAGCAGUAGGGAAUCUUCCGCAAUGGGCGAAAGCCUGACGGAGCAACGCCGCGUGAGUGAUGAAGGUCUUCGGAUCGUAAAACUCUGUUAUUAGGGAAGAACAAAUGUGUAAGUAACUAUGCACGUCUUGACGGUACCUAAUCAGAAAGCCACGGCUAACUACGUG
rnacentral:rRNA from 1 species